rnacentral:rRNA from 1 species
UGGGGGAUAUUGCACAAUGGGCGAAAGCCUGAUGCAGCGACGCCGCGUGGGGGAUGAAGGCUUUCGGGUUGUAAACCUCUUUCGCUAUCGAACAAGGCCCGCUUAGGGUGGGUUGAGGGUAGGUGGAGAAGAAGCGCCGGCUAACUACGUGCCAGCAGCCGCGGUAAUACGUAGGGCGCGAGCGUUGUCCGGAAUUAUUGGGCGUAAAGGGCUUGUAGGCGGCUUGUUGCGCCUGCUGUGAAAACGCGGGGCUUAACUUCGCGCGUGCAGUGGGUACGGGCAGGCUUGAGUGUGGUAGGGGGCACUGGAAAUCCAGGUGUAGCGGUUGAAUGCGCAGAUAUCUGGAGGAAAACCGAUGGCGAAGGCAGGUCACUGGGCCAUUACUGACGCUGAGGAGCGAAAGCAUGGGUAGCGAACAGG